rnacentral:siRNA from 1 species
GGCCGGUUGUUUCUCUUCUGC